rnacentral:rRNA from 1 species
AGGGAAAGGUGAAAAGCACCCCGACGAGGGGAGUGAAACAGUACCUGAAACCGAACGCCUACAAUCAGUUGGAGGGACUUUACGUCCUGACAGCGUACCUUUUGUAUAAUGGGUCAUCGACUUGGUCUCACAAGCAAGCUUAAGCCGUUAGGUGUAGGCGCAGCGAAAGCGAGUCUUAAUAGGGCGUUGAGUUUGUGGGAUCAGACCCGAAACCGAGUGAUCUAGGCAUGGCCAGGUUGAAGAUAAGGUAACACUUAUUGGAGGACCGAACCCACAUCCGUUGAAAAGGAUCGGGAUGAGCUGUGCCUAGGGGUGAAAGGCCAAUCAAACUCGGAGAUAGCUGGUUCUCUGCGAAAUCUAUUUAGGUAGAGCGUCAUCCGAAUACCCUCGGGGGUAGAGCACUGGAUGGGUAAUGGGGCCCCACAGGCUUACUGAUCCUAACCAAACUCCGAAUACCGAGGAGUACUAGAUGGCAGACACACAGCGGAUGCUAACGUCCGUUGUGAAGAGGGAAACAACCCUGACCUACAGCUAAGGCCCCUAAUUCAUGGCUAAGUGGGAAAGCAGGUGAGACGACCAAAACAACCAGGAGGUUGGCUUAGAAGCAGCCAUCCUUUAAAGAUAGCGUAACAGCUCACUGGUCUAAAUAAGUUGUCUUGCGGCGAAGAUGUAACGGGGCUCAAGCCAUGAGCCGAAGCUUAGGAUGCAUUUAUUGCAUGGUAGCAGAGCGUAGUGUGACAUAGUUCCAUGUCUCCUUAGCCCUUCGGGGUAUUGGAGACGCGGAGCUUUCUGUGAAGCGGGCCUGUGAGGGAUCCCGUGGAGAGAUCACUAGUGAGAAUGAUGACAUGAGUAGCGACAAAGAGUGUGAGAGACACUCUCGCCGAAAAUCCAAGGGUUCCUGCUUAAAGCUAAUCUGAGCAGGGUAAGCCGACCCCUAAGGCGAGGCCGAAAGGCGUAGUCGAUGGGAACCAGGUUAAUAUUCCUGGGCCAGAUGGAAGUGACGGAUCUCGAGGGUAGUUCAUCCUUAUCGGAUUGAAUGGGCUGCUUAGAGGUCCCUGGAAAUAGCUCCAUCGCUAGAUCGUACCCUAAACCGACACAGGUGGAUAGGUAGAGAAUACCAAGGCGCUUGAGAGAACUAUGUUGAAGGAACUCGGCAAAAUACCUCCGUAAGUUCGCGAGAAGGAGGCCCGGUUUCUAGGCAACUAGAGGCUGGGGGCACAAACCAGGGGGUGGCGACUGUUUAUUAAAAACACAGGGCUCUGCGAAGUCGUAAGACGACGUAUAGGGUCUGACGCCUGCCCGGUGCCUGAAGGUUAAAAGGAGGGGUGAGAGCUCUGAAUUGAAGCCCAGGUAAACGGCGGCCGUAACUAUAACGGUCCUAAGGUAGCGAAAUUCCUUGUCGGGUAAGUUCCGACCUGCACGAAUGGCGUAACGACUUCCCCGCUGUCUCCAACAUAGACUCAGCGAAAUUGAAUUACCGGUCAAGAUGCCGGUUACCCGCGGUUAGACGGAAAGACCCCGUGCACCUUUACUACAACUUCACACUGGCAUUAGGCCGAACAUGUGCAGGAUAGGUGGUGGGCUUUGAAGCGUGGACGCCAGUCUGCGUGGAGCCUCCCUUGAGAUACCACCCUUGUUCUGCUUGAUGUCUAACCGCGGUCCGUUAUCCGGAUCCGGGACCCUGUGUGGUGGGUAGUUUGACUGGGGCGGUCGCCUCCUAAAUCGUAACGGAGGCGCGCGAAGGUUGGCUCAGAGCGGUCGGAAAUCGCUCGUUGAGUGCAAUGGCAGAAGCCAGCCUGACUGCGAGACUGACAAGUCGAGCAGAGUCGAAAGACGGCCAUAGUGAUCCGGUGGUCCCAAGUGGGAGGGCCAUCGCUCAACGGAUAAAAGGUACGCCGGGGAUAACAGGCUGAUACUGCCCAAGAGUCCAUAUCGACGGCAGUGUUUGGCACCUCGAUGUCGGCUCAUCUCAUCCUGGGGCUGGAGCAGGUCCCAAGGGUACGGCUGUUCGCCGUUUAAAGAGGUACGUGAGCUGGGUUUAGAACGUCGUGAGACAGUUCGGUCCCUAUCUUCCGUGGGUGUAGGAUACUUGAGAGGAGUUGCCCCUAGUACGAGAGGACCGGGGUGAACGAUCCACUGGUGGACCAGUUGUUAUGCCAAUAGCAGUGCUGGGUAGCUAUGAUCGGACAGGAUAACCGCUGAAGGCAUCUAAGCGGGAAGCCCCCCUCAAAACAAGGUAUCCCUGAGAGCCGAGGUAGACCACCUCGU